UUCGGACAAUAUACAAGGUGCUGCAUGGUUGUCGUCAGCUCGUGCCGUGAGGUGUCGGGUUAACGUCCCAUAACGAGCGCAACCCCUAUCAUUAGUUGCCAUCAGGUCAAGCGUGGGGACUCUAAUGAAACUGCCUACGCAAGUAGUGAGGAAGGUGGGGAUGACGUCAAAUCAGCACGGCCCUUACGUCCAGGGCUACACACGUGCUACAAUGGCCGGUACAAAGGGCAGCUACCUGGUGACAGGAUGCUAAUCUCAAAAGCCGGUCUCAGUUCGGAUCGGAGUCUGCAACCCGACUCCGUGAAGCUGGAAUCGCUAGUAACCGCAGAUCAGCUACGUUGCGGUGAAUACGUUCCCGGGCCUU
rnacentral:rRNA from 1 species